rnacentral:rRNA from 1 species
UACGUAGGGUGCGAGCGUUAAUCGGAAUUACUGGGCGUAAAGCGUGCGCAGGCGGUUAUUUAAGUCAGGUGUGAAAGCCCUGGGCUUAACCUAGGAAUUGCGCUUGAGACUGGAUAGCUUGGAGUGCGGCAGAGGGAGGUGGAAUUCCACGUGUAGCAGUGAAAUGCGUAGAGAUGUGGAGGAACACCGAUGGCGAAGGCAGCCUCCUGGACCACGACUGACGCUGAGUGAGCGAAAGCCAGGGGAGCAAACGGG